AUUGUUGCAUGUUAUUACUGCUCUCUGUGCUCUGGCAUUCUCUGUGCUGGGUUCAGCUGUGUCCCCUCCUGGGGCAGUAGGUCCCCACUGUGCCCCAAGGUGGAACAGGACAUGUGUCCUGACAGCACUUAACCCUGAAGGAACCAGCCAAGGCUCUGCCUGGCUGGAGUCACAGCACACGGGUGGGUGACUGAUGGAAAUCCUGCCCUUGGGGGGUUCUUUAGCUCCUUUGCAACAGUCAUGGAAUAUUGUACAUCUUGGCAUUGCUUGAUGUUUUAAGCCUGUGCUGUUCUAUUAAAAAAAGCAAACAAAA